rnacentral:rRNA from 1 species
UACGUAGGGUGCGAGCGUUGUCCGGAAUUAUUGGGCGUAAAGAGCUUGUAGGCGGUUUGUCGCGUCUGCUGUGAAAUCUCAAGGCUCAACCUUGAGCUUGCAGUGGGUACGGGCAGACUAGAGUGUGGUAGGGGAGACUGGAAUUCCUGGUGUAGCGGUGAAAUGCGCAGAUAUCAGGAAGGAACACCCGUGGCGGAAGGCGGUUCUCUGGGACGGUACUGAC